UUGGAGGGCAAGUCUGGUGCCAGCAGCCGCGGUAAUUCCAGCUCCAAUAGCGUAUAUUAAAGUUGUUGCAGUUAAAAAGCUCGUAGUUGAAUUUCGGGGUCAGUAGGUUGGUCAUGCCACCGGUAUGUACUGGUCUCACUGAUUCCUCCUUCCUGAUGAACUGUAAUGCCAUUAAUUUGGUGUUGCAGGGAAUCUGGACUGUUACUUUGAAAAAAUUAGAGUGUUUAAAGCAGGCUAACGCCUGAAUACAUUAGCAUGGAAUAAUGAAAUAGGACGAUCGAUCCUAUUUUGUUGGUUUCUAGGAUUGACGUAAUGAUUAAUAGGGAUAGUUGGGGGCAUUAGUAUUCAAUUGUCAGAGGUGAAAUUCUUGGAUUUAUUGAAGACUAACUACUGCGAAAGCAUUUGCCAAGGAUGUUUUCAUUAAUCAAGAACGAAAGUUAGGGGAUCGAAGACGAUCAGAUACCGUCGUAGUCUUAACCAUAAACUAUGCCGACUAGGGAUCGGAUGAUGUUAAUUUUUUAAUGACUCAUUCGGCGCCUUACGGGAAACCAAAGUGUUUGGGUUC
rnacentral:rRNA from 1 species